UACAGAGGGUGCGAGCGUUGUUCGGAAUUAUUGGGCGUAAAGGGCGCGUAGGCGGUGCGGUAAGUCACCUGUGAAAUCUCCUGGCUCAACUGGGAGCUUGCAGGCGAAACUGCCGUGCUGGAGUGUGGGAGAGGUGAGUGGAAUUCCCGGUGUAGCGGUGAAAUGCGUAGAUAUCGGAAGGAACACCAGUGGCGAAAGCGGCUUCCUGGUCCAGCACCGACGUUCAGGCACGAAAGCGUGGGGAGCAAACAGG
rnacentral:rRNA from 1 species